AGAAACGUGGAGGCAGAAGAGCAGUGACAAGGUAUCUGUAUGUCUGUCAGUAUAUGUGCACAUCCAGGAGUGCGUGGGCAGACAAAGAAGCGUUGUGCAGGCAGGGAAAAAUGAGUGCUGUGGGUCCUGGGAGCAGCAAUGCGUGAGGCUCCUCCUGCUAGUGCUCUUCCGCUGGAACGUCCCUUUGGUUUUCUACUUGGGAGAAUAUUUGAACCCGUUGAAAAGGGUCUGACUUGAAGCGAGGGUGCAGAGCAGAUUUAACCUCUGCAGGCGUGUAUGCCAGAGCAUGAAGCAUCGUCAACAAGCACGGGGUAGCACCAGCUUGAAACAGGGGAAGCUUCCACAGAGCCCCCAAAUGGAGUCCCAGGGUGAUGAGAUGAAGCUGAUUUUGGCAGCAUUAAAGGUGGUUUUCCAGGAUCUGUGCCUUCUAGGGCUGGGGGCUGUCACUGGGGUUGCUUUCACAGGACACCCCCCAGCCCACCUCAGGACCCACGGGGAGUCUGUCGGUGACAAAUGUGUCACUGAGUGACAGCAUCAGGGUGGGAAUGUGUGGAACACAGUGCCCAGGGCAGAGCCAAGCGGCGCUGGGGGGGGUCAGCCCCAAGGAGAAAGCCUCCCCCAUGGAAGAAAUGGAUUGCUUAAUGCCGUGGGUGAGAUGUUGUAGAAGAGCAAAUUAAUGAGGUUAAAAGGUGCCGCCCGGGUACUGUGGGAACCUCCUCCCACCCUGCAAGUGCUGUCCAAAGCUCUCCAGUGCCCCCUGCUGCUCUUUGCAGUUCCCCACUAAGCUCCCGUUGUCUCCCAGUAUUGUCCAGAGUCUCCUUGUGCAAACUCAGUGCCCCCCAGUGCUGCCUGGAGCCACCCCAGUGCUGUAUGCGGCCCUCAGUAGCCUCCCAGUGCCCCCCAGUGGACUUCCCAGUGCCUCCAGUAGUGCCCAGUGCCCCCAGUUCAACACAUGCACUGCUCAGCACGUGACCGUCGCCUUCCCCAGGAACAAAACAAGGCAACAGAGACGUUGACAGCAGCGAUGGUGAUGGAGAUGUUCAGACUGGAGGAGCUCUUGGCUCGCUGCAGCCACCCCAGCAUCCCCAGAGGUGGGCACGGGGACCUGGGGGGGCUUUGGUGCUGCACAAACGACUGCAGGCAGAGGUGUAGGAAAGUGAACGCCAAGCAUUUAAUAAUUGAACGUACAAAACAGCAAAUAAAUGACAAUAGAUAUUC
ensembl:lncRNA